CUUCCGAGAGGGCGGGAUCACCGAGCAUAGCACCCGGGGUUACUGAGCGCUGAGUCACUAGCACCGCGGCUGCCGGAGCCCUGAGUCCUGAGCCGCGAGCACUUCCGGGAGGGCGGGGGACCGAGCACGGCGCGAUGAGCACUCGCGGGAAUGAGGAGGACUCAGCGCUCAGCACCGCGGGCGGCUAAGGAAUCCGGGGACUGAGCGCCAAGUCAUCAGCACCCGGGAGGACUCAGCGCAGCACCCGCGGGUGACGUCACCCUCGUCUGCCGCGGGAGUCACAGCCUUGGCCUGUCCCGUGACCGCAUCCCUGCGGUGUUGACUGUCCCGGAUCCCGUGGGUGACCCUGCGGUGUUGACUGUCCCGGAUCCCGGUGGGUGACUCUGCGGUGUUGACUGUCCCGGAUCCCGUGACCGCAUCCCUGCGGUGUUGACUGUCCCGGAUCCCGGUGGGUGACCCUGCGGUGUUGACUGUCCCGGAUCCCGGUGGGUGACCCUGCGGUGUUGACUGUCCCGGAUCCCGUGGGUGACCCUGUGGUGUUGACUGUCCCGGAUCCCGUGACCGCAUCCCUGCGGUGUUGACUGUCCCGGAUCCCGUGACCGCAUCCCUGCGGUGUUGACUGUCCCGGAUCCCGAAUUAAAUCCUCGUGAUCCAGUCUAACCCGCUCCACUGUAGAGCGCUGUGCCCACAGUUUUAUAGCUCAUCCUGUGACGCAGAAUCUCCCAGUCGGGGCCUCACUCGGACCGGGUUCGCGGUGACUUGAGGUUGUUCGUGUGCGUGCGGAGCUGGGGAAGGGGAUCUGAGCUCAUUUCCCCCCAACCUCAUUAAAUCUGUCAA